CACGUAGGGCGCAAGCGUUGUCCGGAAUCAUUGGGCGUAAAGAGCGUGUAGGCGGCCUGGUAAGUCCGCUGUGAAAGUCCAGGGCUCAACCCUGGAAUGCCGGUGGAAACUGUCAGGCUCGAGUCCGGAAGAGGCGAGUGGAAUUCCUGGUGUAGCGGUGAAAUGCGCAGAUAUCAGGAGGAACACCAAUGGCGAAGGCAGCUCGCUGGGACGGUACUGACGCUGAGACGCGAAAGCGUGGGGAGCAAACAGG
rnacentral:rRNA from 1 species